AACGAACGCUGGCGGCAUGCCUAACACAUGCAAGUCGAACGAGACCUUCGGGUCUAGUGGCGCACGGGUGCGUAACGCGUGGGAACCUGCCCUUAGGUUCGGAAUAACUCCCCGAAAGGGGUGCUAAUACCGGAUAAUGUCUUCGGACCAAAGAUUUAUCGCCUUUGGAUGGGCCCGCGUUGGAUUAGCUAGUUGGUAGGGUAAAAGCCUACCAAGGCGACGAUCCAUAGCUGGUCUGAGAGGAUGAUCAGCCACACUGGGACUGAGACACGGCCGAGACUCGUACGGGAGGCAGCAGUGGGGAAUAUUGGACAAUGGGCGAAAGGCUGAUCCAGCAAUGCCGCGUGAGUGAUGAAGACCUUAGGGUUGUAAAGCUCUUUUACCCGGGAUGAUAAUGACAGUACCGGGAGAAUAAGCUCCGGCUAACUACGUG
rnacentral:rRNA from 1 species